GACGAACGCUGGCGGCGUGCUUAACACAUGCAAGUCGAACGGAAAGGCCCUGCUUUUGUGGGGUGCUCGAGUGGCGAACGGGUGAGUAACACGUGAGUAACCUGCCCUUGACUUUGGGAUAACUUCAGGAAACUGGGGCUAAUACCGGAUAGGAGCUCCUGCUGCAUGGUGGGGGUUGGAAAGUUUCGGCGGUUGGGGAUGGACUCGCGGCUUAUCAGCUUGUUGGUGGGGUAGUGGCUUACCAAGGCUUUGACGGGUAGCCGGCCUGAGAGGGUGACCGGCCACAUUGGGACUGGGAUACGGCCCAGACUCCUACGGGAGGCAGCAGUGGGGAAUAUUGCACAAUGGGCGGAAGCCUUAUGCAGCAACGCCGCGUGCGGGAUGACGGCCUUCGGGUUGUAAACCGCUUUCGCCUGUGACGAAGCGUGAGUGACGGUAAUGGGUAAAGAAGCACCGGCUAACUACGUG
rnacentral:rRNA from 1 species